rnacentral:tRNA from 2 species
GCCCGCGUAGCUCAGCGGAUAGAGCGCCUGUUUCCGAAGCAGGAGGUUCCGAGUUCGAUUCUCGGCGUGGGUA